rnacentral:lncRNA from 1 species
GAAAACAAAUAAAUCUCUCUUACCAGAUCUGUACUAUCUGUUUUGGUUUUUUUUUUCUUCUGUAUUGCAUGGCUUUUAAUUCCUCCGUUUUAAGCUUUCAGAGGAUUUCUCAGUCACUUUCUCAUUGCAGGGACUCAAUACUCAACACCUAAAAUUUGAAGGGAGAGGGUCUUCUUUAGGCUCCGGUUGUUUAGAAGUUCCAGCCUGUGGUCAACAGCACGCGGAAAAGCCUGGGUGGAAGAAGACUGCUCACCCUAUCACUGCCACCGAGGACGCUGCUAGGAGGUAAAAAUCAAGAGAGGAAACAGGAAGAGAGCUAUGCCCUUCCGGGUCACGCCCUUCUAGGUCACGCCCACAAUGACCCGCCUCUUGGGGACCCAACAUCCUAACAGCAAGUCAAUUCUAACCCCCAAGUCCAAUCAUCUUCCAAACACAUGAGGCCCUGGGGUCAUGUUAGAUGUAAGCUAUACCAAGAGGAGUUUUCAAUAAUGGACAUAGACCCAAGCUCAGCCGUGACAGUGCAAGAAAAUGACUUAUUUAUUAUCAGUCAUGAUCUGUGGAACUGAGAGAUCUUCUAGGCAGGCGCGAGAACCAACCUACGGCUUCAGACAGACUUUACAACGUAGGUUCAUGUCCUGCACAAGCCAAAUCAAUUAUAAUAAGAAAAAGGAAGAGGAACAGGAAAAGAAAAAAAGAGAGGGGAAAUAUCACAGAGGUACCAGUUUUUCCUUUGAGGCCUGGGAAAUAUGCUAUAUGCUGGUUCUUCUACCUUUAGACAAAACUUUUAAGGCUGAAAACUACAAUGAUCCUCCAAGGAACCACAGGUCAAGGAACAUGUGA